UCGCGGUGAGUUUCUAUUUCUUGGUAAUUCGGUUUGUGAAAUGACUAUUAAUUACAAGCACAGCAUCAUCAACGGUGAUUGCAAGAACUACUGCAAUCCCUGCGGUUUUUCCUCUUGGUAAAUGCGUUCUGGUCGUGACCAAAGGUGGUCUUCCAAAUCAGCCGGGAAUAAGGCUAUUGUUGCAGAACAAAAUGCCCCAACCACUGCUGUGGUAAAUAUGUACCAGCAGUAGGCAUG
rnacentral:lncRNA from 1 species